rnacentral:rRNA from 1 species
CCCGGUGCUAUACAUGCAGUCGAGCGAACAGAUAAGGAGCUUGCUCCUUUGACGUUAGCGGCGGACGGGUGAGUAACACGUGGGUAACCUACCUGUAGACUGGUAUAACUCCGGGAAACCGCCUAUAAUGCCGGAUAACAUAUAGAACCGCAUGGUUCUAUAGUGAAAGAUGGUUUUGCUAUCACUUAUAGAUGGACCCGCGCCGUAUUAGCUAGUUGGUAAGGUAAUGGCUUACCAAGGCGACGAUACGUAGCCGACCUGAGAGGGUGAUCGGCCACACUGGAACUGAGACACGGUCCAGACUCCUACGGGAGGCAGCAGUAGGGAAUCUUCCGCAAUGUGCGAAAGCCUGACGGAGCAACGCCGCGUGAGUGAUGAAGGUUUCGGCUCGUAAAACUCUGUUAUUAGGGAAGAACAUAUGUGUAAGUAACUGUGCACAUCUUGACGGUACCUAAUCAGAUAGCCACGGCUAACUACGUGCCAGCAGCCGCGGUAAUACGUAGGUGGCAGGCGUUAUCCGGUAAUUAUUGGGCGUAAAGCGCGCGUAGGCGUUUCUUAAGUCUGAUGUGAAAGCCACGCUCAGCCGUGUAGUUCAUUGUAACUGGAACUUGAGUGCAGAAGAGGAAGUGUAUUCCUGUGUAGCGGUGAAUGCGCAGAGAUAUGAGAACUCAGUGCGUAGCGACUUUGCUGGACUGUACUGAGCUGAUGUGCGAAGCGCGCGAUCUUCCAGAUUAGAUACCCUGAUAGUCCACGCAGUAGACGUUGAGUGCUAAUGUGCUAGGGGGUUCCCGCCCCAUUAGUGCUGCAACUACGCAUUCAGCACUUCCCGCUUGGGGAGUCCGACUGCAAGUUAAACUCAAAGGAAUUGACGGGGACCCGCACAAGCGGUGGAGCAUGUGGUUUAAUUCGAAGCAACGCGAAGAACCUUACCAAAUCUUGACAUCCUUUGACCACUCUAGAGAUAGAGCUUUUCCCCUUCGGGGGACAAAGUGACAGGUGGUGCAUGGUUGUCGUCAGCUCGUGUCGUGAGAUGCCGUG